CUCUGUCACUUUGGGGUCACUAGUAAGUAUGCAUGCGAUGACUCAAAUGCAAGCCCUGUAGUGUCACUGCUCAGUUGGUACCCAAGGCGGUCCCGAUGAGCGGAGAGUGUUUGCUGCUUGGAUACAGAGGGCAGAAGAUGGUUUACUAUCCAGGCAGCAUGGAAUGGGAGGUGUGAGAUUGCCUCACGCUCCUCAGAUGGGAACACAACUUAAAACUUGUGGAUUGUUAAUUUCUGCAAUUUACAACUUGUUAUUUUCAGGCCAAGGUUACCUUUAGGGGACUGAAGACCUGGCGAGGGCACUGUAGACUCUUCCUGGUAAGACUAAGGCUACAACGUCAUGUUGUCCGAUUUCUAAAGGAGAAGGAACCGAAUGCCAAUAUGCAAAGCAGCAAAGAGAGCUACUGCUAAUUAUCAGUAAUCAUUACUAAAAUUCUUUCCCAUUCAAUCACAGGAAACCAACAAAUCCUUUCUGAAAGAAACCAAGCCCAAUAAAAUGAUCUUCUGUACAUGCGGUGUUCAAUGCCUGACCCACUUCCAGUGCAGCCCAGCCCAGCCCAGCGUGGCCCAGGCCUGGCCGGGGGCUUUGCUUCCCACCCUGCCUGGCCACGGCUGUCCUGUCCCACAGGUCCACUCACAGCAGACAUAGACCGGUGAGAAGCAAGAGGGCCGGCUGUUCAGUGACUCUAUGGACUGCUGCCCAAGUCUCAUUAAGCUAAUUCAGAUUUAUUUUACAUCCUGGACACCUGAGUCCGUACCUAACUUGUCAAAGGAUCAUUCACAAACGGGAAAGCACGGCUUCUCCACGCACACAGACCUCAGUCCCCUGCUCACUCUCCAGGUUUGGCAGCUGCUGCACUCAGAGGCCCUGGCUGGCUGACACACCUGCUCAUCUCCCUUCAGGAGCCCUGUGACCGCCCGGACCCCAGCACCCUCCGUGUCGGGAUUUGCAGUGAAGAGUGAACCUUUCAAGAUUAACAUAGAGACAGUAGGCGUCUACCUCCAAAAUGAUUGUGUGUGUUCCCCAUCCAUCUUCAUCCCAGGUGACCCACAGAAACACGCUUAGGUGUGGCCCAGAAAAGAAUCCACCUAUCCAUAUCCAGCCACCAUCUAUCAUUCAUACAACUCUCUGCCUUCCUACCCAUCCAUCCAUUUUCCAGCCAUCAGCCCAUCUAUUUACCCAUCUAUCACCCACCCAUCCAUUUUCAUCAACCCUUCUAUCCAUUCACACAUUAUUCCUCCAUUCAUCCACUCUUCUGUCUAUUCACUGACUCAUCCAUCCAUCCAUCCACCCACCCAUCCAUCUAUCCACCCAUCCAUCCACCUACCCAUCCAUCCAUCCACCCAUCCACCACCCAUCCAUCCAUCUACCCAUCCAUCUAUCCAUCCAUCCACCCACCCUCCAUCCACCCAUCCAUCCACCCACCCAUCCAUCCAUCCAUCCAUCCAUCCAUCCAUUCAUCCACCCAUUCAUCCAUCCAUCCAUCCAUCCAUCCAUGCACCCAUCUACCUACCCAUCUACCCAUCCACCCAUCUACCAAAACCCCUACUGGGGUAUCCAUCUAGAACUUUACUGUUACUGAGGGUAUUAGUCUAACCCACCCAGCAAUAUGGCAACAUGGGUGCAAAAGAAAGACAAAGAGAAUAUUCUGCCGCUGAGGAGUCCUGGGAUGACCCAGUCAUCUGUGGAACAAAAGAGUGUUUGUGAAAAGUUCAGUCUCAAGCUGAUCCCAUCCUACCAAGCCGGGCCUCUGAGCUUCUUUGAACUCUCACUGUAGGUAACUGUGUGGAGCCUCAGGCAUCCCAUCGGGAUCCCUUCUGUAUCUAUGGCUCCAAUUUUGUUUGUUUUCUGUGAGACUGAGGUAGAGGCAGAAGAAAUCAUCUCUUGCUUUUAAUGUCAUACUUGGUCUACUCGUUUCUAGCUGGAUGCUGUGCAGGUAUGACCAUGUCCCUUUAAAAACCAUGUUGCAAUUUAAUUCCUGGUGCCACUGCGUUAAGAGACGGGCCUGGAGGAAGUGACUGGACUUUGAGGGCCCUGAAAAUACUCAGGGGGUGGAGUCAGCACCAUCCUAGGACUGCAGAGGGAGAGAACCAGGCCCCAUGGAAGGAGAUCCCCGCCCAGAAACCAUCCUUGUUUUGUUGGGUUGGAUAUUUAUUUUCUUUUGAUUUGUUUAUGUUAAGUCUGAUGGCAUGAGCAGCUAUUUAAAAGAUAGCAAGGCAUGUUAUGGAAGCUGUUAUAUAUUUACUACUGGCUUGUUUUGAUGUCCUUUAUUGCAUCCAUUGUUUUGUUUUUAUUUUUUCUAUUCUAUUCUGUUCUGUUUGAUUUUUACUAUGUCUGAAGGUGAUAUCUGAGCUAUUCUGAAGACAACAAAGGCCUUGUGGUAACUAUUGUUGAUUUCAUAAGGUUUGGAAGUCCUGUAUCACUU